UCUACGGGGUGCAGCAGUGGGGAAUAUUGGACAAUGGGCGAAAGCCUGAUCCAGCCAUGCCGCGUGUGUGAAGAAGGCCUUCGGGUUGUAAAGCACUUUCAGUGGGGAAGAAAGCCUUGGGGCUAAUACCCUCGAGGAAGGACAUCACCCACAGAAGAAGCACCGGCUAACUCCGUGCCAGCAGCCGCGGUAAUACGGAGGGUGCGAGCGUUAAUCGGAAUUACUGGGCGUAAAGCGCGCGUAGGCGGUCUGAUAAGCCGGUUGUGAAAGCCCCGGGCUCAACCUGGGAACGGCAUCCGGAACUGUCAGGCUAGAGUGCAGGAGAGGAAGGUAGAAUUCCCGGUGUAGCGGUGAAAUGCGUAGAGAUCGGGAGGAAUACCAGUGGCGAAGGCGGCCUUCUGGACUGACACUGACGCUGAGGUGCGAAAGCGUGGGUAGCAAACAGGAUUAGAUACCCCUGUAGUC
rnacentral:rRNA from 1 species